AUUGCUGACCCGGUCAGCACUGUGCCCCGGCAGCAGCGGUCUUCAAUGCUGCAUCGCGGAUAUUCCGCGCCGACCGCGCCAGCCCGUUCCGCAUCGUAUCGCGGGCGUCCGCCUUCACCGGUGGCGA
rnacentral:ncRNA from 1 species